rnacentral:rRNA from 1 species
CCUAUGGGUGGCAGCAGUUGGGAAUCUUCCACAAUGGGCGAAAGCCUGAUGGAGCAACGCCGCGUGGGUGAAGAAGGUCUUCGGAUCGUAAAACCCUGUUGUUAGAGAAGAAAGUGCGUGAGAGUAACUGUUCACGUUUCGACGGUAUCUAACCAGAAAGCCACGGCUAACUACGUGCCAGCAGCCGCGGUAAUACGUAGGUGGCGAGCGUUAUCCGGAUUUAUUGGGCGUAAAGGGAACGCAGGCGGUCUUUUAAGUCUGAUGUGAAAGCCUUCGGCUUAACCGGAGUAGUGCAUUGGAAACUGGGGGACUUGAGUGCAGAAGAGGAGAGUGGAACUCCAGGUGUAGCGGUGAAAUGCGUAGAUAUAUGGAAGAACACCAGUGGCGAAGGCGGCUCUCUGGUCUGUGACUGACAUUGAUGCUCGAAAGUGUGGGUAUCAAACAGGAUUAGAUACCCCAGUAGUC